GGUUUUGUAUCUAAAACUGAAAUAUAUUUUGAUGUGGUGUGACCUCAGCCAUUAUUGAAGUCAAUCGACUUCACAUCACGCCGACCUAUCCAGCUCAGAAACGAAUGAUCUAAAGUUGUCGGCACCAGCCUGAAAUCUCCGAUGUCUUGCAUGUCCAAGAUCAUUGGCAUCGUGCCGAUAAGCAAGAAAUCGCUGAUAUAAUGUCACC
rnacentral:lncRNA from 1 species